rnacentral:rRNA from 1 species
AUUGAACGCUGGCGGCAGGCCUAACACAUGCAAGUCGAGCGGAUGAAGGGAGCUUGCUCCUGGAUUCAGCGGCGGACGGGUGAGUAAUGCCUAGGAAUCUGCCUGGUAGUGGGGGAUAACGUCCGGAAACGGGCGCUAAUACCGCAUACGUCCUGAGGGUGAAAGUGGGGGAUCUUCGGACCUCACGCUCUCAGAUGAGCCUAGGUCGGAUUAGCUAGUUGGUGGGGUAAAGGCCUACCAAGGCGACGAUCCGUAACUGGUCUGAGAGGAUGACCAGUCACACUGGAACUGAGACACGGUCCAGACUCCUACGGGAGGCAGCAGUGGGGAAUAUUGGACAAUGGGCGAAAGCCUGAUCCAGCCAUGCCGCGUGUGUGAAGAAGGUCUUCGGAUUGUAAAGCACUUUAAGUUGGGAGGAAGGGCAGUAAGUUAAUACCUUGCUGUUUUGACGUUACCAACAGAAUAAGCACCGGCUAACUUCGUG